GCCCAAGUGGUGGAAUUGGUAGACACGCUAUCUUGAGGGGGUAGUGUCCUAUGGACGUGCCGGUUCGAGUCCGGCCUUGGGCACCA
rnacentral:tRNA from 1 species